ACACUAGAAGGGAGGUGGUUCGGAAGUGAUUUCAAUCCGGACAAGUGAGGUGGCUGCGGGCUGACGCCCGUCGUCGCACACGUGCGGUGCCGGUGAACCACCGGCCCAAUCCAAGCAGUCACCCGACCCGCGUGCUCGCCGGUAAGUCCGGCCGGCUCCUCCCCGGAGGAACCAGAGCACGCGGGUCGUCCGCG
rnacentral:sRNA from 1 species